GGCUCUGUGGCGCAAUGGAAAGCGCAAUGGAAAGCGCAUUGGACUUCUAAUUCAAAGGUUGUGGGUUCGAGCCCCACCAGAGUCG